AUUAGGAAUCUUGCACAAUGGGGGCAACCCUGAUGCAGCGACGUCGCGUGGAGGAUGAAAUCUUUCGGGAUGUAAACUCCUUUUCUCAGGGAAGAAAAAAAUGACGGUACCUGAGGAAUAAGCCCCGGCUAACUACGUGCCAGCAGCCGCGGUAAUACGUAGGGGGCGAGCGUUGUCCGAAGUUACUGGGCGUAAAGAGCGCGUAGGCGGGCUUCUAAGUGAGAGGUGAAAGGUUCGGGCUCAACCCGGAGAGUGCCUUUCAUACUGGGAGCCUUGAGUGCGGGAGAGGCAAGUGGAAUGGUCGGUGUAGCGGUGAAAUGCGUAGAUAUCGAUCGGAACACCCGUGGCGAAGGCGGCUUGCUGGCUCGCAACUGACGCUGAGGCGCGAAAGCGUGGGGAGCAAACA
rnacentral:rRNA from 1 species